rnacentral:lncRNA from 1 species
AAGUUCCAUCAUCCAUGCAUGCACAGGAUUCCAUGUAAAUGAAAUUAUCAAAUGACCCACUCACUCUACUUCUUCCCGACUGCACUGCGUCUUCCCAACCCUAAACAAACAAUUAUCAGGUAAUAAAUCUAAAAAGCUGCCCAUUCAAAACUUUUGUCUUGAGCUUGACUUUUGUUGAGGAUGAUGAGGAGCUUAUUUAGUGGGAAAAUUGCAACAACCUCCACCCUCCACCCACCAACUUCGUAUGCCGCAAACACGCCACGUUCACAUACACACACACACAGAGACAAAUAAACCCCAUCCAAUUCCACUUUUCUUUUCUUUUCUCUUCUCUUCUUUUUUGUUUCUCUCCUCCAUAUGAGAAUAAUAUGAAAAUUCCAAGAGCCUUGGAAACCGAGUUAGUGGAGUUAUUUGCAUUUCCCACAAACAUGCCCUUAACCAGCUUGGACCAAGAAUUUCAACUUCACUUUUACGAAAUUUAUAUAUAUCAAAAAAUAAAAAACUAAAAUGGGGGGCACUCAUGUUCAACCAAAAGCUACAAUCUCGUCUUUAUAUAUGACCCAUCAUGUCCCCUCAGCUCUAUACUCAUCAUACUCUUUCUAGUCCUCCUUUCUUGCUACCUACCCAGCACUUACCAUUUUUUCAUCUCAAUUAUAGCUUUAUCAUUGAUCAUUUUUCUAAGCAACAUCGACGACCAUGACCGCCAGCCACCGGUGGAGCUCUGUCUACUUGGGUGGUGGUGGUGGUUGGCGGACGCAGCAGCGCGGCGUACAAGGGCUCUGCUGUAAGUACGGGUGAAAAGUGAUGGCAAAGCAACACACCAAACAAGGCUUUGCAAUUGCGCUCUCCUGAAUUUCUAGCCCACACCACAAGGAGCAGAGUCGGGAGAGCGGCAUUAUUGCAUUGCGGGGAAUUGAGGGUAGCGGUCCGAAUUUACCUUAACCACAACGUAGGUCUUUUAAUAAUUUUCUUUUAUUACUUACCUUGGUGUUUGCUCUUAGUUGUCCUUUCGUUUUUGUUUUUGUCUUUGUUUUUGCAUGUUUAAUAUGUUAUGGAACAUGGGAUGUAAGGGAUGCAUACGAGGUAGCUAGUUUGUUUAGUUUGGUUUUUAGUUUGUUUGUAAUGCUGCUGGGCAUGCAUCACUUACACCUAUCAUGUAUUUAUUUGCUUUGUCACGAAUUAAUGGAAGAAAGAAAAGAAUGACUUUAGUUUCCUUCCUUCCUUCCUCUUUAAUUUUCUUUUUCCUUUUUGGGUUUUGGUGUGUCUUGGCUCUUCUAGCUAGCUAGAUGCUGAUUCAAAGUCAGAAUCUGAUUUUUGUGAAAGCUUGGCAGCUUGGAUUUUCCAUGCCUUUCUUUUUCUGCACUUUGGUACUUUAUCUCAUCUGAUUUCAAUCUUUAAUUACUUAAAGGAAGCAUGAAGUUCAUUUUUUUGCCAAAAAUUUAUACUAGUUAUGCAAAAGGGUUAUAAGGCUGUUCACCAAAUGAUAAUCCAUCGACGGCUACAAGAAUUGAUAGACAGAAGCGAAUUUUUGUCUCUUCCAAA